rnacentral:rRNA from 1 species
AACAAACGCUGGCGGCGUGCCUAAUACAUGCAAGUCGAACGGGGAAAGCUUUCGGGUGAGUACUAGUGGCGCACGGGUGAGGAACGCGUGGAUAAUCUGCCUUAGAGUGGGGGAUAACUAGUCGAAAGAUUAGCUAAUACCGCAUAAGACCACAAGAUCUGCGGAUCAAGGGGUCAAAGGUUUUUCGCUCUUAGAUGAGUCCGCGUAAGAUUAGCUAGUUGGUGAGGUAACGGCUCACCAAGGCGACGAUCUUUAACUGGUCUGAGAGGAUGAUCAGUCACACUGGAACUGAGACACGGUUCAGACUCCUGCGGGAGGCAGCAGUAGGUAAUAUUGCACAAUGGAGGAAGCUCGGAUGCAGCGACGCCGCGUGAGUGAUGAAGGCCUUCGGGUCGUAAAGCUCUGUCGCAGGGGAAUAACACAAUGAAGGUACCCUGUAAGAAAGGAUCGGCUAACUUCGUGCCAGCCGCCGCCGUAACAC